rnacentral:rRNA from 1 species
UCAGACGAUGCGUCAUGCAUAUCAAUAAGCGGAGGAAAAGAAACUAACAAGGAUUCCCCUAGUAACGGCGAGUGAAGCGGGAAGAGCUCAAAUUUGAAAUCUUAAAGGGUUUCCCUUUACGAAUUGUAGUUUAAAGAAGUGUUUUCUGAUGAGGCUUUUGGUAAAAGUUCUUUGGAAUAGGACAUCAUAGAGGGUGAGAAUCCCGUAUUUGACCUUUACUUUCAACUUUGUGAUACACUUUCAAAGAGUCGGAUUGUUUGGGAAUGCAGUCCAAAAUGGGUGGUAAAUUUCAUCUAAAGCUAAAUAUUGGCGAGAGACCGAUAGCGAACAAGUACCGUGAGGGAAAGAUGAAAAGAACUUUGAAAAGAGAGUUAAACAGUACGUGAAAUUGUCAAAAGGGAAGCGUUUGACACCAGUGUUGUUUUUCUGAAAAUCAAUUAAAGAACUGUUUAUGCUAAGCUGUUUAGACUUUAUCAGCUAUCUGUUUAGUUUUGAGCUUUUCUUUAAUGCACUUUUCAGUUAACAAGUCAACAUCAAUUUCUUUUGCUGUAAAGAAGCUUGAGGAAGGUGGCUUGAGAUUCGUCUUAAGUGUUUAUAGCCUCUUGCCUAUGCAGUCGGAGAGAUUGAGGUCUGCAGCGUAGAUCCUUCGGGGCUAAAUGCAUUUGUGCUAAGUUAUAGCAUUUUAUAGACAACUUGUUGACUAUGAUUUGUCUUGUAGCUUACUCGCUUAUGCUAUUUUACCUACGCUUAGGAUGUUGAGCGCAUAUCUCUCUCU